GGGCCGGUGGUGUAGCCCGGUUAACACGCCGCCCUGUCACGGCGGAGAUCGAGGGUUCAAAUCCCUUCCGGCCCG
rnacentral:tRNA from 1 species